rnacentral:lncRNA from 1 species
GCAAAUGAACGUACCUUCUUUCAUUUGCUUUACUUGUAGUCCUAAAAAGAAUGUUAACUCUCCCAUCAUAGACAUCUCAAAUUCGCUUGCCAUUAAAUCAGAAAAUUCCUUGCAUAAGACAUUGUUAGUAGCACCAAAUAUGAUAUCAUCCACUUAUAUUUGAACUAAUAAAAUAUCAUUAUUUUUAUGCUUAACAAAAAGGGCGGUGUCA